ACAAAUCCUAAUUCUUCUGCCAAAAUAUAGUUCCCCAAGGUAGCACACUGGUUGUCAAGCAACAGCGGCGCACUAAUACCAGAGACGUCAAACUAGUGCCGCGCAGGACAGACAGGAGUCAGUUCACAAAAAAAAAGAAAAGUGUGCGUUCACGAUUCAACUGUUCAUUCAGUAGCUAUGCCACUCAGGGGGCUGUCCACGGAGGAACUUUUACAAAAGUUGGUGGUGGAAGGAGGAAUCCAAAUUUCAGAAGAGGAGGCUCAGAAAUUUAGAGACAAUGAUGUGGAUGGAGAGACAGUAGACUGCGGACUCACAGAAAAUAUGAUUGCAUAUCUCUUUGACAAGUCUUUCAAAAAGCAGCUAAAAUUCAGAGACUUCACACACCGCAACAAGGAGGUCACCGUUACUUUGGAAGUGGUCAACCCAGAACAACAAACAUGUGAAGCUUCUGUGUCCCCAGCAAACCAGAGGUUGGAAUCUACUUGCCACAGACUGCCUGCAGUCAUUUCCAUUCCACAAUUCCCACAAGAUGUCCAGAGCCGCUUAGAUGCUAAAGAACCGGUCCACAAGGAACAAAAGUACCGUAACAAAAUAAUUGGGAAUCUGUAUGACAUGCUGUCACAGUGUACAAUGUAUCCAACCAACUCGGACUACGUUCAGAUCGUUAAAGCGUUAAUUGGGAAGUACCCUUUCUUAAGGGAUGUACACGGGAAUGGUUAUGUAAGUACCUCUCCUUUGGUCUCUAAUUUGAACAGAUUUUAGAUUUACAGAAGUAUGCAUAAUUAACUUUCAUGAUAUCUGUUUGGAACAACCAGCAUACCUGGCACAGCCAACUCAAGAGAAAAUUCAAAACAGAACGGGCUCCACUAAUCAACAAUGAGGAAGUAAAACGGGUCAAAGAAAAGUUUCGGCAAGCAAGAUCACUGAAGACCCCAGAAGAAUCUACAUCCACAUGUCCAAAACGACUGAAGCCAUCUCUAG
ensembl:lncRNA